AAACAUGUCUUUUUGUAAAUAAUUUAAAGUUUAAUCUGCCCACUGAUNAAAUUAUUAAAGGGCUGCAGUAUUUUGACUGUACAAAGGUAGCAUAAUCAUUAGUCUCUUAAUUGGUGACUUGUAUGAAAGAUUGGAUGAGAUAUAUACUGUCUCUAUUUAAUUUAUAAAAUUUAAUUUUUUAGUAAAAAAGCUAAAAUGUUUUUAAAAGACGAGAAGACCCUAUAGAGUUUAAUAAUUUAUUUAAUUAUUAUUAAUAUAUAAAUCUUAAAAUUAAAAUUAAAUAAGUUAUUUUGUUGGGGUGAUAAAAAAAUUAAAUUAACUUUUUUUUUAUUUUAUACAUUAAUUUAUGAAUAAAUGAUCCAUUAAUAGUGAUUAAAAGAAAAAAUUACCUUAGGGAUAACAGCGUAAUUUUUUUUUUUAGUUCAAAUAGGAAAAAAAGUUUGCGACCUCGAUGUUGGAUUAAGAUAAAAUUUAAAUGCAAAAG
rnacentral:rRNA from 1 species